GCCGGCAUAGCUCAGUCGGUAGAGCACCUGAUUUGUAAUCAGGGGGUCGCGGGUUCGAAUCCUGCUGCCGGCACCA
rnacentral:tRNA from 1 species